GAUACAGCUCAGUUGGUAGAGUGCUUGCCUCACAUGCAGCACAAGGCCCUGGGUUCAAUCCCCAGCA
rnacentral:tRNA from 1 species